CCUACGGGAGGCAGCAGUGGGGGAUAUUGCACAAUGGGGGGAACCCUGAUGCAGCGACGCCGCGUGGGUGAAGGAGCGUUUCGGCGCGUAAAGCCCUAUCGGCAGGGAAGAAGAUGACGGUAGCCAAGGAGGAAGCCCCGGCUAACUACGUGCCAGCAGCCGCGGUAAUACGUAGGGGGCAAGCGUUGUCCGGAAUGAUUGGGCGUAAAGGGCGCGUAGGCGGCCUGGUAAGUCUGGAGUGAAAGUCCUUCUUUUAAGGAGGGGAUUGCUUUGGAUACUGCUGGGCUUGAGUGCAGGAGAGGUAA
rnacentral:rRNA from 1 species